UUGUAAUAUAACAAAAGACUCUUCCUUAAUGACAUCGCCAUGCAGGAAGUGACAUCAUAUUGGAGGGAAACCAGCAGCACAAACAUCAUCCCGGGAAGAAACGGCACCACAGAUCGCUGGAUGCUUCAACAGGGCUGAAAACGAAUGCGGAUUUUUCGAGGGUCGCCUCAAAGCAGCUGCGAAAGUGAGAGUAAUUGAGAGGUGAUGAAGGUAGUGAUCUCAUGGGGAAAGAGUUUCUGGAACAGUAGCGGGGGAAGGAGAGGAGGUCUCUAUCCCACUGUGAGGCCACAUUCUUGGCUCUGCAUAGCUCCAGAGACGUCACCCGGGUCAUGAGGUGUUUCACAUAACAAGGACGUUUUGAUGUUAAAGGCAAUUCAUCAAGCAUUUCUUCUGCUCCCAGAGGCCAUAACAGCACAGAGCGGAGAGGAAAAUGGACUCUUAUCAGGAUUGUACAAUAUAUUCCUUAUUUUAUCUUAACAAAUCCAUUCUCUUUCUGUUUUGCUUGCAGGAUCAGAUAGCAGGCCCUCGAUAUGUUCAGAAUGGGAGCUUUCCAAAAGAUAGAGGAAUUUGGGUCACAUUUUAGAAUAACUCCACUCAUGUGCUACUCUAACUAAUCUGCAGAUUCAAAAUAAUCCCCUAAUGCUGUAAUAACCCAUUAUAUAUUUAUGUAUGGCUUUUAUUCUCAAUACAUGUAAUAGUUUGAAUAAGCACAACUGCGGAAACGUUCAGUGGUCCAUCUGGCCGGUGUUAGUAUGCAGUUUUCCCAAACUGGUUGUGAAUCACUGGAAGGUCAUGACCUACAGGGCAAUGGAGGGAAUCUGUGACGGCAAAGCUUUUUAUUUAAUAUUGCUGUUUACUACAACAUGGCACAAACUGGUUUAUUGUAAUUUGCAUGUUAAUAAAUGUACCUUAUGUGCACCCCUUUACAUGAUAGUUUAUUAAAUAUUUUAGCUAAUUUGAUGCUAUCAGCUACUGAUAUGAGUGUUGUACUCCAUUUAACACAUUUUAGG